rnacentral:tRNA from 1 species
GCUCCGGUCUUCUAAGAUUUAAGAUUCGCUUUGCUAAAGCGGGAUGCGGGUGAAAAUCCCGCCCGGGGCA